UACGAAGGGGGCUAGCGUUGCUCGGAAUCACUGGGCGUAAAGGGUGCGUAGGCGGGUCUUUAAGUCAGGGGUGAAAUCCUGGAGCUCAACUCCAGAACUGCCUUUGAUACUGAAGAUCUUGAGUUCGGAGAGGGAUGCGGAAUUCCAGGUGUAGCGGUGAAAUGCGUAGAUAUCUGGAGGAACACCGGUGGCGAAGGCGGCAUCCUGGACCGGUAUUGACGCUGAGGCGGCGAAAGCCAGGGGGAGCCAAACGGG
rnacentral:rRNA from 1 species